rnacentral:rRNA from 1 species
GAUGAACGCUGGCGGCGUGCCUAAUACAUGCAAGUCGAGCGGUAAGGUUCUGCACUUAGUAUUUAACCUGGGAAAGUCUAUGCAAAUAGAUACUACCCCGAAGAUUGAAACUCCAAGGCUGGAGAAUCAAGUUGAAUCCUGGGUGUAGAAUACACGAGCGGCGGACGGCUGAGUAACACGUAGGAACGUACCCCAAAGUGAGGGAUAAGCACCAGAAAUGGUGUCUAAUACCGCAUGUGAUCUUCGGAUUAAAGCUCCGGCGCUUUGGGAACGGCCUGCGCAUGAUUAGCUUGUUGGUGAGGUAAUGGCUCACCAAGGCGAUGAUCAUUAGCUGGUCUGAGAGGAUGAUCAGCCAGACUGGGACUGAGAACCGGCCCAGACUCCUACGGGAGGCAGCAGUAGGGAAUUUUCCACAUGGGCGAAAGCCUGAUGGAGCAACGCCGCGUGCAGGAUGAAGGCU